rnacentral:rRNA from 1 species
GACGAACGCUGGCGGCGUGCCUAAUACAUGCAAGUAGAACGCUGAAGCGAGGAGCUUGCUCUUCUUGGAUGAGUUGCGAACGGGUGAGUAACGCGUAGGUAACCUGCCUUGUAGCGGGGGAUAACUAUUGGAAACGAUAGCUAAUACCGCAUAACAAUGGAUGACACAUGUCAUUUAUUUGAAAGGGGCAUUUGCUCCACUACAAGAUGGACCUGCGUUGUAUUAGCUAGUAGGUGAGGUAACGGCUCACCUAAGCGACGGUACAUAGCCGACCUGAGAGGGGGGUCGGCCACACUGGGAAUGGGACACGGCCCAGACUCCUACGGGAGGGAGCAGGAGGGGAACAUCGGCAAUGGGGGCAACCCUGACCGAGCAACGCCGCGGGAGGGAAGGAGGGUUUCGGAGCGGAAAGCUCUGUUGUAAGUCAAGAACGAGUGUGAGAGUGGAAAGUUCACACUGUGACGGUAGCUUAACAGAAAGGGACGGCUAACUACGUG